GAUGAACGCUGGCGGCGUGCCUAAUACAUGCAAGUCGAGCGAACAGACGAGGAGCUUGCUCCUCUGACGUUAGCGGCGGACGGGUGAGUAACACGUGGAUAACCUACCUAUAAGACUGGGAUAACUUCGGGAAACCGGAGCUAAUACCGGAUAAUAUAUUGAACCGCAUGGUUCAAUAGUGAAAGACGGUUUUGCUGUCACUUAUCGAUGGAUCCGCGCCGCAUUAGCUAGUUGGUAAGGUAACGGCUUACCAAGGCAACGAUGCGUAGCCGACCUGAGAGGGUGAUAGGCCACACUGGAACUGAGACACGGUCCAGACGCCUACGGGAGGCAGCAGUAGGGAAUCUGCCGCAGUGGGCGAAAGCAUGACGGAGCAACGCCGCGUGAGUGAUGAAGGUCUUCGGAUCGUAAAAAUCUGUUAUUAGGGAAGAACAAAUGUGUAAGUAAAUAUGCACGUCUUGACGGUACCUAAUCAGAAAGCCACGGCUAACUACGUG
rnacentral:rRNA from 1 species